GACGAACGCUGGCGGCGUGCUUAACACAUGCAAGUCGAACGGACAGGCCCUGCUUUUGUGGGUUGCUCGAGUGGCGAACGGGUGAGUAACACGUGAGUAACCUGCCCUUGACUUUGGGAUAACUUCAGGAAACUGGGGCUAAUACCGGAUAGGAGCUCCUGCUGCAUGGUGGGGGUUGGAAAGUUUCGGCGUUUGGGGAUGUACUCGAGGCGUAUCAGCUGGUUGGUAGGGUAGUGGCUUACCAAGGUUUCGACGGGUAGCCUACGUGAGAGGGUGAUCGGCCGCACUGGAAGGGAGACAGGCACCAUGCGCCUACGAGAGGCAGCAGUAGCGUAUGUGAGGCAGUGGGGGGGAACAUGGCGGAGUGGCGGGAAGUGUGAGGUGGAAACGCUGGGAGCGGGAUGAUCUGUUAUGAGUUGUAAACAGAUGUCGCAGGAGCUGUGGAGUGCUUGACGGUAAUGGGUAAAGAAGCAACGGCUAACUACGUG
rnacentral:rRNA from 1 species